rnacentral:rRNA from 1 species
GAUGAACGCUGGCGGCGUGCCUAAUACAUGCGAGUCGAGCGAACGGACGAGAAGCUUGCUUCUCUGAUGUUAGCGGCGGACGGGUGAGUAGCACGUGGAUAACCUACCUAUAAGACUGGGAUAACUUCGGGAAACCGGAGCUAAUACCGGAUAAUAUUUUGAACCGCAUGGUUCAAAAGUGAAAGACGGUCUUGCUGUCACUUAUAGAUGGAUCCGCGCUGCAUUAGCUAGUUGGUGAGGUAACGGCUUACCAAGGCAACGAUGCAUAGCCGACCUGAGAGGGUGAUCGGCCACACUGGAACUGAGACACGGUCCAGACUCCUACGGGAGGCAGCAGUAGGGAAUCUUCCGCAAUGGGCGAAAGCCUGACGGAGCAACGCCGCGUGAGUGAUGAAGGUCUUCGGAUCGUAAAACUCUGUUAUUAGGGAAGAACAUAUGUGUAAGUAACUGUGCACAUCUUGACGGUACCUAAUCAGAAAGCCACGGCUAACUACGUG